AGUGAACGCUGGCGGCAGGCCUAACACAUGCAAGUCGAACGGCAGCACAGUAAGCGCUUGCUCCUACGGGUGGCGAGUGGCGGACGGGUGAGGAAUACAUCGGCAUCUACUUUUUCGUGGGGGAUAACGUAGGGAAACUUACGCUAAUACCGCAUACUACCUACGGGUGAAAGCAGGGGAUCUUCGGACCUUGGGCGAUUGAAUGAGCCGAUGUCGGAUUAGCUAGUUGGCGGGGUAAAGGCCCACCAAGGCGAUGAUCCGUAGCUGGUCUGAGAGGGUGAACGGCGACACUGGAACUGAGACACGGUCCAGACUCCUACGGGAGGCAGCAGUGGGGAAUAUUGGACAAUGGGCGCAAGCCUGAUCCAGCCAUGCCGCGUGGGUGAAGAAGGCCUUCGGGUUGUAAAACCCUUUUGUUGGGGAAGAAAAGCUGCGGGUUAAUACCCGGCUGUUCUGACGGUACCCAAAGAAUAAGCACCGGCUAACUUCGUG
rnacentral:rRNA from 1 species